rnacentral:rRNA from 1 species
CGUGAGGCUUCGGCCUCUUCGAGGGAAAAUCCUUGCCUUUUCGAGCACCUGUUUGUUUCCUCGGCCGCUCCGGCUGCCAAUGGGGACCCUUUAAACUCUUGUAUAAACCUGAAUUAAACGUCUGAAUAACAAAAAUAAAUCAAAACUUUCAACAACGGAUCUCUUGGUUCUGGCAUCGAUGAAGAACGCAGCGAAAUGCGAUAAGUAGUGUGAAUUGCAGAAUUCAGUGAAUCAUCGAAUCUUUGAACGCACAUUGCGCCCUAUGGUAUUCCGUAGGGCAUGCCUGUUCGAGCGUCAUUUACACCUUCAAGCUCUGCUUGGUGUUGGGUGACUGUGGCCCCCGGGCCACUCGCCUUAAAGUCAUUGGCGGCCGGUUUGUAGGCUUCGAGCGCAGCACAUUUGCGUCCUCGUGGCUCGCGGAUCGGCUCCCAGAAGCUAUCUUUUACUGUUUGACCUCGGAUCAGGUAGGGAUACCCGCUGAACUUAAGCAUAUCAAUAAGCGGAGGAAAAGAAACCAACAGGGAUUGCCCUAGUAACGGCGAGUGAAGCGGCAACAGCUCAAAUUUGAAAUCUGGCCCUCUCAGGGUCCGAGUUGUAAUUUGCAGAGGGUGCUUUGGCGUUGGCUGUGGUCUAAGUUCCUUGGAACAGGACGUCACAGAGGGUGAGAAUCCCGUACGUGGCCGCCAGCCUCCGCCGUGUAAAGCCCCUUCGACGAGUCGAGUUGUUUGGGAAUGCAGCUCUAAAUGGGAGGUAAAUUCCUUCUAAAGCUAAAUACUGGCCAGAGACCGAUAGCGCACAAGUAGAGUGAUCGAAAGAUGAAAAGCACUUUGGAAAGAGAGUCAAAAAGCACGUGAAAUUGUUGAAAGGGAAGCGCUUGCAGCCAGACUUGCCUGUAGUUGCUCACCUUGGCUUCUGCCUUGGGUACUCUUCUACGGGCAGGCCAGCAUCAGUCCGGACGGUUGGAUAAAUGCCCGCGGAAUGUACCUCUCUUCGGGGAGGACUUAUAGCCGCGGGCGUCAUGCAGCCAGUC